UUUAUAUGAGAGUUUGAUCCUGGCUCAGGAUGAACGCCGGCGGUGUGCCUAAUACAUGCAAGUCGAACGCGUUGGCCCGACUGAUUGAUGAUGCUUGCAUCUGAUUGACGACGGUUUACCAACGAGUGGCGGACGGGUGAGUAACACGUAGGCAACCUGCCCAGAAGCGGGGGACAACAUUUGGAAACAAGUGCUAAUACCGCAUAACAACGAA
rnacentral:rRNA from 1 species